rnacentral:rRNA from 1 species
AGUGAACGCUGGCGGCGUGCUUAACACAUGCAAGUCGAACGGCAAGGUGAGUAGCAAUACUUGACCUAGAGUGUCGUACGGGUGCGUAACACGUAUGCAACCUACCCAUAACAGGAGGAUAGCUCCCCGAAAGGGAAGUAACCCUCAAUAGUACAAUUGGAUGGCAUCAUUGGAUUGUUAAAACUGAGGUGGUUAUGGAUGGGCAUGCGUCUGAUUAGUUAGUUGGCGGUGUAACGGACCACCAAGACGAUGAUCAGUAGGGGAACUGAGAGGUUGAGCCCCCACACUGGGACUGAGAUACGGGCCAGACUCCUACGGGAGGCAGCAGUAGGGAAUAUUGGUCAAUGGAUGGAAGUCUGAACCAGCCAUGCCGCGUGCAGGAAGAAGGCCUUAUGGGUUGUAAACUGCUUUUGCCAGGGGAUAAAAUAGCUGUGCGCAGCGAAUUGCAGGUACCUGGUGAAUAAGCCACGGCUAACUACGUGCCAGCCGCCGCGGUAA